GGCCUACAAUCGUUUAAUAUAAAAUAAUAUUGCGAUAUGAAAGAAAUUGCUGGACCUACUUCUUCUUCAAAAAUGAAUUUUAGGGAUAAUAUAUUGACUUGAACCUAUUGAAAUCCUUUGGCUGUGACUUUACAAAUUUGGUAUCACAAGUGACAAGGCCUCCCAUGACAUUAUCAUGACUGUUCAUUGAUAUUGGAAAAAUAGUUUAAAGAUCAAUGCUUGGAUGAAUCAGGGAACUUCAUUUACAAAACAGACAAUAAAAGACCUGAUUUAUCUUAACGACAGUUUAAAUUAUAAAUCUGUGAGAUUCUAAUAUACACUCUAGUUUUUAAGAUACAUAUUAACAGUUUACUCUACAAUGAGGGGAAAAUAAUCUGAAUAUGAGAAUUUUCUCUGUUACUCAAGUUUAUGUUACAUUUAGCACCAAGUAUAUUAUUGUUGCUAUCACCUUAGGGGCUGUUUACAUGAGCCUGGCUAGCCAUGCAGGCUGGCCCAGUUAACCAGGCUGAAGGCCUGGCUAGCCAGGAGGUUACCUGAGCUGGUGACUUUACAUGGAGAAAUUUCAGCCCGGUUAUCCGGGCAUCCCAUUUGACUCAAGUGAGAUCUCGGCUAGGCAGAUUCUUGUUAAAUGAUUUGUAUUAAGCUGGGUGCCUCGGUUAACAGGACUAGUCGGGCUCAUGUAAAUAGCCCCUUAGUUAUUAAGACUUGUUGGCAGAGUAAAAUAUAUCAGGCAAUAAAACUGGUUUCAACUUGCAACAAAUCGGAUGUUGGUGCAUGUAAGUUGUUAUUAAGACUUGUUGGCAGAGUAAAAUAUAUCAGGCAAUAAAACUGGUUUCAACUUGCAACAAAUCUGAUGUUGGUGCAUGUAAGUUGUAAUGUUGUUUUUACAAAG